rnacentral:lncRNA from 1 species
UAGGGAAUAGGGUGGUGGUGGAUGAGAUUGAGGCCAGAGAGGGGGCUGGCGGUCUGCCCUGAGGACCCCCCUCCCACCCACCGCAAUAGCUGCAUGGCCCCGGGACUUCCCUGUCGUACCUGAGAGGAGGGCCUGGCCCGUGAACUGCCUCCCCAGGAGAGGUCCUCAUCGUCCCCUUCUUCCUUUACGUUCUCAACUCCACUCAGCACGUUUCGUUCGUGCUCAUUGUCCUCCCGCAUCCCUGGAAUUCAAGGCCAGCAGGGUGUGUCUUAUUGAAAUUGAACAAAAUACCUAAUUUCUAGAGAGUAUAAGAAAAGUUUAAAAUACUUUAUGGAUGUGUUGUUUCGACAGCAAAAUAUCUACUCAGAAUCCUAUAGCUAUUUCAAAAUCCAAGUAACUUAGAAAAAAAGGAAACAGAAAACCUAUAUAGUCAAAUCUUUUGGUGAUUUUGUAUUCAAUGACUGAAACUUCCCAGUGAUUAUUGGGCUUUUUAGCUGGAAUUGAACUUGAAUCGGGGCAGAGCAGCACAAUGCUUC